rnacentral:rRNA from 1 species
UACAGAGGGGGCAAGCGUUGUUCGGAAUUACUGGGCGUAAAGGGCGCGUAGGCGGCCUUCUAAGUCAGACGUGAAAUCCCUCGGCUUAACCGGGGAACUGCGUCUGAUACUGGAUGGCUUGAGUUUGGGAGAGGGAUGCGGAAUUCCAGGUGUAGCGGUGAAAUGCGUAGAUAUCUGGAGGAACACCGGUGGCGAAGGCGGCAUCCUGGACCAACACUGACACUGAGGAGCGAAAGCCAGGGGAGCAAACGGG